rnacentral:rRNA from 1 species
CGAACGCUGGCGGCGUGCUUAACACAUGCAAGUCGAACGGACAGGCCCUGCUUUUGUGGGGUGCUCGAGUGGCGAACGGGUGAGUAACACGUGAGUAACCUGCCCUUGACUUUGGGAUAACUUCAGGAAACUGGGGCUAAUACCGGAUAGGAGCUCCUGCUGCAUGGUGGGGGUUGGAAAGUUUCGGCGGUUGGGGAUGGACUCGCGGCUUAUCAGCUUGUUGGUGGGGUAGUGGCUUACCAAGGCUUUGACGGGUAGCCGGCCUGAGAGGGUGACCGGCCACAUGGGGACUGAGAUACGGCCCAGACUCCUACGGGAGGCAGCAGUGGGGAAUAUUGCACAAUGGGCGGAAGCCUGAUGCAGCAACGCCGCGUGCGGGAUGACGGCCUUCGGGUUGUAAACCGCUUUCGCCUGUGACGAAGCGUGAGUGACGGUAAUGGGUAAAGAAGCACCGGCUAACUACGUGCCAGUAGCCGCGGUGAUACGUAGGGUGCGAGCGUUGUCCGGAUUUAUUGGGCGUAAAGGGCUCGUAGGUGGUUGAUCGCGUCGGAAGUGUAAUCUUGGGGCUUAACCCUGAGCGUGCUUUCGAUACGGGUUGACUUGAGGAAGGUAGGGGAGAAUGGAAUUCCUGGUGGAGCGGUGGAAUGCGCAGAUAUCAGGAGGAACACCAGUGGCGAAGGCGGUUCUCUGGGCCUUUCCUGACGCUGAGGAGCGAAAGCGUGGGGAGCGAACAGGCUUAGAUACCCUGGUAGUCCACGCUGUAAACGGUGGGUACUAGGUGUGGGGUCCAUUCCACGGGUUCCGUGCCGUAGCUAACGCUUUAAGUACCCCGCCUGGGGAGUACGGCCGCAAGGCUAAAACUCAAAGGAAUUGACGGGGCCCCGCACAAGCGGCGGAGCAUGCGGAUUAAUUCGAUGCAACGCGUAGAACCUUACCUGGGUUUGACAUGGAUCGGGAGUGCUCAGAGAUGGGUGUGCCUCUUUUGGGGUCGGUUCACAGGUGGUGCAUGGCUGUCGUCAGCUCGCGUCGUGAGAUGUUGGGUUAAGUCCCGCAACGAGCGCAACCCUUGUUCACUGUUGCCAGCACGUUAUGGUGGGGACUCAGUGGAGACCGCCGGGGUCAACUCGGAGGAAGGUGGGGAUGACGUCAAGUCAUCAUGCCCCUUAUGUCCAGGGCUUCACGCAUGCUACAAUGGCUGGUACAGAGAGUGGCGAGCCUGUGAGGGUGAGCGAAUCUCGGAAAGCCGGUCUCAGUUCGGAUUGGGGUCUGCAACUCGACCUCAUGAAGUCGGAGUCGCUAGUAAUCGCAGAUCAGCAACGCUGCGGUGAAUACGUUCCCGGGGCUUGUACACACCGCCCGUCAAGUCAUGAAAGUUGGUAACACCCGAAGCCGGUGGCCUAACCGUUGUGGGGGAGCCGUCGAAGGUGGGACUGG